GGGGAAUCUUGCGCAAUGGGCGAAAGCCUGACGCAGCAACGCCGCGUGCGGGAUGAAGGCCUUCGGGCUGUAAACCGCUUUCAGCAGGAACGAAAAUGACGGUACCUGCAGAAGAAGGAGCGGCCAACUACGUGCCAGCAGCCGCGGUGACACGUAGGCUCCAAGCGUUGUCCGGAUUUAUUGGGCGUAAAGAGCUCGUAGGCGGUUUAGUAAGUCGGGUGUUAAAACUCUGGGCUCAACCCGGAGAGGCCAUCCGAUACUGCUGUGACUUGAGUUCAGGAGGGGAGCGGGGAAUUCCUAGUGUAGCGGUGAAAUGCGCAGAUAUUAGGAGGAACACCGGUGGCGAAGGCGCCGCUCUGGACUGAAACUGACGCUGAGGAGCGAAAGCAUGGGUAGCAAACAGGAUUAGAUACCCUGGUAGUCCAUGCCGUAAACGGUGGGCACUAGGUGUGGG
rnacentral:rRNA from 1 species